rnacentral:misc_RNA from 1 species
AUAUGUCUUAUUUUAUUUUUGAUGCGUCUCAUGUCGCUCGGGUGCGCACCUACAUUGACCUGUAUUUUAUUUUUAAAGAGACUUAUUAGCAUUGACUUGUGUCAAAAUAAGAAAACUUUAAUGGUGUUGGUUCAUUUAAAAUGUUUCAAACUAAAAAGUGAUUACAAGAUUUCCAAUUCUAAAUUCCUCUUCUUUAUUUUUCUUUUCAUUUUUUUUGUUUCCUUUUUUUCAUAUAUUUGUUUUUGGUUCAAUCAUGUAGUCAAAUAUUUAUCAAACUACA